rnacentral:lncRNA from 1 species
UCCAAUAGCCUCAAAUGCCUCAGCUCCAUAGACAAUGUCAUAGUCUAGGUGCAUCAAAGUUCCCUAAGAAUCUCAAGGAUCCUAGGCAGUGCUUACACCUAGACUUGGUAACCAAAAUUGAAUAAGUGCAGUAUGGAAGGUCCAACCUCAGUAUGCCAGAGUUCAGAGGGUUCUUAAGAGGAUCCCAAGGCAGUACACAUACUGGAGUGGGAAAAACCUAUUGAAUUAGGAGUAGAGUGAAAGUUCUCGACACAAGUUGAAAAGUUUCAGUGGGAAAACUGUAUUAAAAGGAAGUUUAUUUGAAAUAAUUUAGUAAAACAAUAGAGACAAUUUGAAAAGAGAGUGGAGUAGUAAACAACAGUCUAAACACAACACCCUUAAGACAGGUUCAUACACAGCCAGGGGUCACAGAACCAAAGCAAAUUUAGUAGUCAUAAACAGGGGUCAAGGGAUUUGGGGAUGCAUAGAACACAUGAUAACAAGCAAAGGUCUUAGGAAUUGGUACAGACAUGUUCAGACACAACUGAUCAGACAUAGUAAAAAAACCAUCAAUUCUUAAGGAGGUUCAGUAUAGGAUCCACAUGAUUCAAUCCCAGAACCAUACAAGUUAGGAGUGCAUACUACAUAGAAGAGAUUCGUAUCAGAGACCAGAUAGUGCAAGAUUACAUGGAGAUAGAUUACAGAAGGGUAACGUGCUCAUACUGAUUCUAAGGAAGGGGAGUUUAUAACAUGCUAAUCAUGUAAGCAUAUUAAUUGUAGGUUUCACAGCAAAACCAUAAGUAAAAGCAAACUAGAAACAGGAUGAAUUGAAGCAAUAAAAGAACCAUAUUGUUGUUGGAACUUGAAUUGAACUAGAACAUACUAGUAGAGAAGACAGUAAACAAAAGUGAAGGAGCAGGAGAGCACAGUAGUUAGCCUUGGCUUGCAGCCGGCUAACUUAGAAUAGUAGCAAGUAGCACAAAAGAGAGAGAGCACAAAGUUUAAGUGAGAGAGAGAGAGAGAGAUUUUGAAGAAAAGUGUUCAUCUUGUGUUAAUGAAAAAGUGUGUAUAUAUAGUAGUUCGAAAUCAGAUAAAAAAUAAGGUAAGAAUCAUAGUAGCAUAGUAAUUAUGGAACUCAGAAUCAAUUAGAGCAAAAUCAGGACCAGUACUCCCUUAAGUAAAGGGAAUUAAUUCAAACGGUAAGAACAAGUAUUAUAUAAGGAAAGAAAUCAGUGUAUGACUAAUAAGAAAGAAUCAAAUUCAGUAAGUAUAGGGUAAGCAAUUAGGGCUAAGUUCAGAAAACUCCAAUUAAGGAAAUUGUUCAGUAAGAAUAAAGUACCAGAGCAGACAAGGUAGGCGAAUCAGUUAAUUUGAAUAGAAGAGGUAGAAAUCGAGAGUUUGAGGGAAGGUCUUUCAAUCAACCCAUAAAAUAGGGAAUCCAGAAUCAAUCAAAGAGGAGGUCAUGAUUCAGUAUUCAGCAUAUAAAUAGAGUAAGAGCAACCACACAUAGCAAACAUGCAGGUUAAACAAUAUCGAUAGAAAGAGGAAAGUCUAAACAAUCAAGAUGAACAUAAUCAUAUAGAGGUGGUAUAAGUUAAGCCAAAAACUCAGUAAGAACAUAUUCGAGGAAAGGUAAUCACAUAUACUUAAACAAGAAUCGAGUAGUCAUGCUAACACACAGAACCAAACAAAGAAAUCUCAGAAAUUUGGGGCUUUCAACAUAGGCUAGUUGAAAAGGGAGUAAAAUCAUAGAAUCAGUCGAAAUAUGCAAGAGAUGGAAGAAUCAGUUUAACCACUGAAUCUACCGGAGUGACGCGACCUCUUGUCAGACCCUUGACCACACCCCUGAGCUAGAACCAUCUCAACUCGUCUGGCAACAUUGGCUGCAUCCUAGAAAGAAAUAUCACUCACAGUCUCCUUAGCCAUCCGCAAUCUGAUAGGCUGAGCAAGUCACUCAAUAAACCUCCUCACCAUCUUUCUCUCGGUAGGAAGUAUAAGAAGAGCAUGACGGGCCAAAUCAAUAAAGUGGGUCUCGUACUGAGUGACGGACAUACUGCCCUGUUGAAGACUCUCGAACAAUCUUUUUUUCUUUUUUGGAUUUUGAAUUUUCUUAUUCUUUUUCUUUUUAAAUUUCCGAAAGAAAGACAUAUAAAAAAACUAUAUAUAUAUUUUUUGAUUUUUGCAUUNUUUUUUUGAAUUUUUUGAUUCGAAAGAAAAACCUCUAAAGAAGAAAGAAAAUAUAUUUGGAUUUUGGACUUUUAUGUUAAAAUUAUGAAAGAAAGACUUCUAAAGAAAAUGAUUUUGAAUCUUGCAUUUUCUUUUCAAUUUUCGAAAGAAAAACUUCUAAAGAAGAAAGAAAAUAUUUUUGGAUUUUUUUUUUAAAAUUGGGGUCUCAAAGAAAGACUUUUCUAAAGGAGGAAGCAAGGGAAAAUAUUUUUGGUUUUAUUUUUUUAAAAUUGAGGGCCGAGACCGAUGAGGUUUGCCUACGUAUCUCACAUCCCGUGAGAACAGGUGAAACAUGACUUUUGAAAACAAUAACCUAUUUUCUUUCUUUGUUUGUUUUUUUUUUUUUUGAAAAUUUCGGCAGAGCUUCGGAUUACCUACCUCUCACUCUUGAUUUUUUUUUUUUUGAUUUUCUUUUUCUUUCCUUUUUUUAAUUUUCUUUCCCUAUUCUAGCAGUCAGUCAACAUGCAAGCCGAAACAAACAGAUACGCAAGUAGCACGUAAGAUGCAUUAGGAUGAUCUUUUAAUUUGGGUACACCUGUCCUAGACGGACCCAACCCCUGUGUUGAGUCUCUAAAGUCAAGAUGCACGUGAUGCAAACAAGCGUACCUACUAGGGAUCCAACAUGAGGCUAUGUUAUUCUAGGUUUAAACCUGGAGUGUAUUGUUCUUGACUUGGCUUACCCGAACGGACAGCUCGAGCCGGGGGGCAGCUUACCGGGAAUACAGAAACUUCACCGGCUUUGCAAGUUGUCCGAACCUCGUUCUAAAAUUUGGAUAUGACUCUAACAGAAAAGAAGUCACGCGAAGCGCACACUCCCCAGAAGAUUUAGAAGACUCAGAGAGAAGAAGGGUUUCAUAAAAGGUUUACAUACAGUUCAAUCAAUAUCAAAGCGGUAAAAAGCGGUAUUUAACGCAUUAGGCUCAAACAUGCAAAAUCAGAAAAUAGAUAAAAGCCAAGUAUAACAAUUAUUCUAAGCUCGAAUUCUGAACUCUGAACUAGAAGUUCUGGGUUCUUUUCCCCAGCAGAGUCGCUAGAGCUGUCACACCUCUUUUUUACCCGAAGGGAUUGGGAGUUUUUCCAAUUUAAGUGAAAUAAAUCAAAAUGGGAUUAUUUAUUUAAUCAGAGUCACCACUUGGAAUAAUUUAUGGCGUUCCAAGUCACCGGUUUAUUUUAAAUCCCAAAUCAAGAAAAUUGACUCUUAUUUAUGAUCUGCGAACACAGAAGACCGGGUAAGAAAUUCUGUUAACCUGGGAGAAGGUGUUAGGCAUUCCCGGGUUCCAUGAUUUUAGCACAGUCACUCAACUAUUAAUAAUUGUCCUAAUUAUCUGAUUGAUUACAUGUUUAGAACCUUUUUUGCAUUUUUAACCUUUUAAACCACUUUUAAUUAUUUUUGGAACAAGUAAAGAUGUCGUACACUUGUCGUUUUGGCACACAUUGUAAACCGUGCCACAUGAAAUGCACCCGCGAUGUAUAAUAUAUUUAUUUUAUUAUUAUUCAAAAUUAUGGUCGAGUCACGUGAAACGCACACUCGAAUUGGUGAUUGUGUAUCGUGACCAUACCACGGGAACCGUACCCAUAGUCACGAUAAUUCACUUAGCACCUAAAAGUAUGUCUACCCACGUGUGGUUGGCCUAAGCAUAUUCCUAGCGAAUAAUGUGAUAAAGUAAAUAAAUAAAUAAAUAAAUAAAUAAAAGAGAACUAAAACAUAUAACAAUUUAAUUAUGUUUGACUUUUCCCCAUCCCACGGCCCCGUCAUUCAUUUAAGACAAAUGCACACCAAUCAAAACAUAAUGGAAAAAUCAAAUUGACAAACAUCCAAAUAGCCAAGCCGCUGAAGUAAUUAUCCAAACAAAUAAGUAUUUAAACCAUUAAGAAAAAAAAAUAAACAAAAGACAAAUAACAUGAUAGAAUAUAAAUAAGUAAAAGAAGCACACCUGAACCUGGGAAAGGCCAUUAGAGGAUUUUAUUAUUACCCAGUUCCUUAACCUCUUAAAGUGCCAUAUUUUAAAAUCAAGCAGAACAAUUAAACACAUGACUUGGCAGAUUUACCCAUCUCAUAUUCCCUAAAUUUCACAACCCAACUCUUCAUACCAAUUUACAGCUAUAUAUACGAAAUCACUCCAAUGAAGCUAUGAGACAGUUCAACGACUUAAUUAACAUAUGAAGAUAGUCAAACGACAUCGAAGAACGCAUAGUCAAAUCAUGAGAAAGAAACUCGUGCAAUUUUGGUCAAACACCAGAGGUGAGGCGUGAAUCAGGAAACAUACAAUUUGCAAAAUGUGUGACCCUUUAAUCCAAAGACAUACUUCAAGAAUUUAAAAUUUCAUGUCAUGACCAUGACACUCAUAGCUUAGAAUUAGAAAGAAAUCUAUUCUACGGGCAAUUGCAAGGAUGUUCACUUAAUUUACCAAGCAUUACUUGAGCUUAAGAAAUUCUAUAGUAACUUCGGCCUCCAAAAUUUGUGACACAUAAAAGUAAAUGCUAUGCGAUUUAUUUGAACAUCUUGUGAGGAUCUAGUGAGGAAGUAGUAAAUGCUUGGGAUUGACAGUAAUGAUUAACCUUCAAAUAAACUCACAAUUUUUAUCGCCCAUCAUACGGGUUUAAAAAUUCCAUGAGGCUCAUAACAUAUCGUCAAAAUCUGGCCAAUUCCAUGUUAGAACAAGAAAUUGAAGGCACGGACUAUUGUUUCAGCACAUUAGCUAUCAAAUGUAGAUUCAAGAAAAAUCAGAGAUCCAAACAUUAAAGUCAAGAACGCGAACACAACCAAGCUCUUAUAAUGGCACUUCCAAGACAUCAAUUCACCACAAUAACAACAACAAAUAAACAAAUAAAUAAGUAAAUAACAGAGGGGAGGAAUGAACCUGAAAAUGCAAGUCUCUUCUUAAUAAUUGAAAAUAGAAAAAUUGGCUACAGCGUUUGAAUCCAAAAUCCAACUAAAAUCAGAAACAAGAGUCGAAUAGGAACGUGAAUCAUAACGAACUCGAAUGGCGAACACAACUCCAACCUCAAGCAAACCCCAUUUUUUGUCCGGAAAAUCCUCUGGUUUGUUCUUCUUCAAUUGUUCCCCUCUAUUUCGUGUAUAUGUGGAUAUGUGUGUGGAGUUAAAGGGUGGAGAAGAUGGAAAUAGGAGUGGUGGUUAUUGGUGGUUGUUUGGCCGCGGCAAGAGAGGUCUGGCGAUGGGGUCGCUAGUUGGUGUGAGAGAAGGGAGCUCCGUUUGGUUUCAAGAAGAGAUCGGAUGGGGUAGGGCAGGCGACGGCUGGUCAAAAGAGUGAAGAAGAAGGGCUUUGGCUAGUGUGAGGUAAAGAAGAGGGAACCGCUGGGAGGGGUGUUCU